rnacentral:tRNA from 3 species
GCGGAAGUGGUGGAAUUGGCAGACACGCUACCUUGAGGUGGUAGUGCGAGAAAUCGCUUGGGGGUUCAAGUCCCCCCUUUCGCA